rnacentral:rRNA from 1 species
GACGAACCGUGCGAACGUUAUUCGGAAUCACUGGGCUUAAAGCGCGUGUAGGCGGGACGGCACGUCGGUCGCUGAAAUCCCCCGGCUUAACCGGGGAACGGGCGUCGAUACGACCGUCCUGGAGGGGCGUAGGGGGACCUGGAACUUCCGGUGGAGCGGUGAAAUGCGUAGAGAUCGGGAAGAACACCAGUGGCGAAAGCGCUCUGCUGGACCUGCACUGACACUGAGGGACGAAAGCUAGGGGAGCGAAUGGG